rnacentral:tRNA from 1 species
GGGGGAUUAGCUCAGUUGGCUAGAGCACCUGCCCUGCAAGCAGGGGGUCAUCGGUUCGAAUCCGAUAUUCUCCAC